ACUCAAAUGAAUAGACGGGGACCCGCACAACCGGUGGAGCGUGUGGUUCAAUUCGAUACGAAACGAAGAACCUCACCAGGGUUUGACAUGUAACCGUUUAUGCUUUUGGAAACAUUAGCAAAUCCGCAAGGAUGGUUACACAGGUGCUGCAUGGCUGUCGUCAGCUCGUGCCGUGAGGUGUUCCCUUAAGUGGGGAAACGAGCGCAACCCCUGUUGAAUGUUAAAUAUUCAUUCGAUACGGUCCCGAUUAUAUCGGGAAGGAAGGAAGGGAAGACGUCAAGUCAGCAUGGUCCUUACACCCUGGGCUACACACACACUACAAUGGCGAAAAACAAUGGGCAGCAAGCUAGCAAUAGCAAGCAAAUCCCUUAAAUUUCGCCUCAGUUCAGAUUGGGGUCUGAAACCCGACCCCAUGAAGUCGGAAUCGGUAGUAAUCGCGGAUCAGCAAGCCGCGGUGAAUACGUUCUCGGGUCUUGUACACACCGCCCGU
rnacentral:rRNA from 1 species